ACUCCUACGGGAGGCAGCAGUGGGGAAUAUUGCACACUGGGCGCAAGCCUGAUGCAGCCAUGCCGCGUGUAUGAAGAAGGCCUUCGGGUUGUAAAGUACUUUCAGCGGGGAGGAAGGCGAUAAGGUUAAUAACCUUGUUGAUUGACGUUACCCGCAGAAGAAGCACCGGCUAACUCCGUGCCAGCAGCCGCGGUAAUACGGAGGGUGCAAGCGUUAAUCGGAAUUACUGGGCGUAAAGCGCACGCAGGCGGUCUGUCAAGUCGGAUGUGAAAUCCCCGGGCUCAACCUGGGAACUGCAUUCGAAACUGGCAGGCUAGAGUCUUGUAGAGGGGGGUAGAAUUCCAGGUGUAGCGGUGAAAUGCGUAGAGAUCUGGAGGAAUACCGGUGGCGAAGGCGGCCCCCUGGACAAAGACUGACGCUCAGGUGCGAAAGCGUGGGGAGCAAACAGGAUUAGAUACCCUUGUAGUCCCAU
rnacentral:rRNA from 1 species